CCUACGGGAGGCAGCAGUGGGGAAUAUUGGACAAUGGGCGAAAGCCUGAUCCAGCAAUUCCGCGUGUGUGAAGAAGGCCUUCGGGUUGUAAAGCACUUUAGGUUGGGAAGAAAAAGCUUCGGUGAAUAUCCGGAGUGUUGACGGUACCAACAGAAUAAGCACCGGCUAACUCUGUGCCAGCAGCCGCGGUAAUACAGAGGGUGCAAGCGUUAAUCGGAUUUACUGGGCGUAAAGCGUGCGCAGGUGGUUUCGUAAGUCGGAUGUGAAAGCCCCGGGCUCAACCUGGGAACUGCGUUCGAUACUGCGAGACUAGAGUUUGGUAGAGGGUGGCGGAAUUCCCGGUGUAGCGGUGAAAUGCGUAGAUAUCGGGAGGAACAUCAAUGGCGAAGGCAGCCACCUGGGCCUGAACUGACACUGAGGCACGAAAGCGUGGGUAGCAAACAGGAUUAGAUGCCCUGGUAGUCCACGCCGUAAACGAUGAGAACUUGACGUUGGUUCGUUUUACGAAUCGGUGUCGUAGCUAACGCGAUAAGUUCUCCGCCUGGGGGNGGUACGGCCGCGAGUAGAACGUACAANAGAGUAGUACGGCGUGAGAGUCGCCGACGGACGACGACGAGGGAGGAGG
rnacentral:rRNA from 1 species